rnacentral:rRNA from 1 species
AUGCAGUCGAGCGAGACCUUCGGGUCUAGCGGCGGACGGGUGAGUAACGCGUGGAAACGUACCCUUUUCUGCAGGAUAGCCACUGGAAACGGUGAGUAAUACUGCAUACGCCCUUCGGGGGAAAGAUUUAUCGGAGAAGGAUCGGCCCGCGUUAGAUUAGGUAGUUGGUGGGGUAAUGGCCUACCAAGCCUACGAUCUAUAGCUGGUUUGAGAGGAUGAUCAGCCACACUGGGACUGAGACACGGCCCACACUCCUACGGGAGGCAGCAGUGGGGAAUCUUAUACAAUGGGGGCAACCCUGAUCUAGCCAUGCCGCGUGAGUGAUGAAGGCCUUAGGGUCGUAAAGCUCUUUCGCUGGGGAAGAUAAUGACGGUACCCAUUAAAGAAACCCCGGCUAACUCCGUGCCAGCAGCCGCGGUAAUACGGAGGGGGUUAGCGUUGUUCGGAAUUACUGGGCGUAAAGCGCGCGUAGGCGGAUCAGAUAGUUGGGGGUGAAAUCCCGGGGCUCAACCUCGGAACUGCCUCCAAAACUCCUGGUCUUGAGUUCGAGAGAGGUGAGUGGAACUCCGAGUGUAGAGGUGAAAUUCGUAGAUAUUCAGAAGAACGCCAGUGGCGAAGGGGGCUCACUGGCUCGAUACUGACGCUGACGUGCGAAAGU